rnacentral:rRNA from 1 species
ACAGUCACUGACAUUAGACUACCCCGGUAGUCCCAGCCGUAAACUAUGCGCGUUAGGUGUACUGGUGACCACGAGUCACCGGGGUGCCGAAGGGAACCGUGAAACGUGCCGCCUGGGAAGUACGGUCGCAAGGCUGAAACUUAAAGGAAUUGGCGGGGAGCACCACAACGGGUGGAGCCUGCGGUUUAAUUGGACUCAACGCCGGAAAUCUCACCGGAUAGGACAGACAUAUGAUAGUCGGGCUGAAGACUCUACUUGAUGAUCUG